rnacentral:rRNA from 1 species
CCUACGGGAGGCAGCAGUGGGGAAUAUUGCACAAUGGGGGAAACCCUGAUGCAGCGACGCCGCGUGAGUGAAGAAGUAUUUCGGUAUGUAAAGCUCUAUCAGCAGGGAAGAAAAUGACGGUACCUGACUAAGAAGCCCCGGCUAACUACGUGACAGCAGCCGCGGUAAUACGUAGGGGGCAAGCGUUAUCCGGAUUUACGGGGGGUAAAGGGGGCGUAGGCGGCGGGGAAAGUCUGAUGUGAAAGCCCGGGGCGCAACCCGGGACUGCAUUGGAAACAGUAGUGCUGGUGUGUCGGAGAGGUAAGUGGAAUUCCUAGUGUAGCGGUGAAAUGCGUAGAUAUUAGGAGGAACACCAGUGGCGAAGGCGGCUUACUGGACGGCAACUGACGCUGAGGCUCGAAAGCGUGGGGAGCAAACAGGAUUAGAUACCCCAGUAGUC